rnacentral:rRNA from 1 species
UACGUAGGUGGCAAGCGUUGUCCGGAAUUACUGGGUGUAAAGGGAGUGUAGGCGGGAUAUCAAGUCAGAAGUGAAAAUUACGGGCUCAACUCGUAACCUGCUUUUGAAACUGACAUUCUUGAGUGAAGUAGAGGCAAGCGGAAUUCCUAGUGUAGCGGUGAAAUGCGUAGAUAUUAGGAGGAACACCAGUGGCGAAGGCGGCUUGCUGGGCUUUUACUGACGCUGAGGCUCGAAAGCGUGGGGAGCAAACAGGAUUAGAUACCCUGGUAGUCCACGCCGUAAACGAUGAUUACUAGGUGUGGGGGGAUUGACCCCUUCCGUGCCGGAGUAAACACAAUAAGUAAUCCACCUGGGGAGUACGACCGCAAGGUUGAA